CUUUCUUCCACUUCAUGCGACGGUUCUGGAACCAGAUUUUGAUCUGACGCUCGGACAGGCAAAGCGCGUGGGCGAUCUCGAUACGUCGCCGCCGGGUCAGACGCCUCUUCGCCCUAGGCUGGCCUCUGCGGAGAUUCCAGGCCCCACAGAGACCAGGA
ensembl:antisense uncharacterized LOC110304354